rnacentral:tRNA from 1 species
GGAGUUGUGGAUCAGUGGUAGAGUGCUUGCCUAGCAUGUAUGAGGCACUGGGUUUGAUUCUCAGCACCA